AACAUGAGAUGUCCAGGAUUGGAGGUUGAAAAGAUUUCACUACAGUGUUCUGCAAUAGUUGGAGCAGAUAACUUCCAGUGUAGCCACAGCCAUGGACUCCAGAUUUCCAGAUUUUCAAGAACUGGACCUGGAACCCGAAAGAGCUUGUCAGGAUGCGGCAGGAACACUGGAGGUAGAUUUUUUUUUAUUUUUGAAUUUGGGGACUGUUGACCUUGCUGUGAGAAAAGAGACAACGACUGAGCAAGCACUACCACCAGCACUGUUACUGGGAAUUAGAAGACCUGAGUUUCUGUCCAGACCCUCAGUGCAAACUGAGGAUGCUCCAUCCAAAGUGAAUUAUGAUAGCAGACUCCUUGAAAGCAGGGUCCUUGUUUAGUGCAUCUUUGCCCACAUACACCACAACAUAUCAAGAUGCAUUUAUUAGGAAGGAGGAGUUUAGAGAGCAGGCUAUCAGAAUAACCACUCAUCCUGUGCCUCCUGAUUGCUGAGUGUUCACCUGGACCUUCUGACUACCUUCCCUGUGCUAUUCCAUCAGCCUACAGACCUGGUACCUGGAUUUUUGCCCGAGAUGAUUCCUACCACCUUACUACUGAAGAAGACACCCAUUCCAGUGGACCACUGUGACCCAGGAGGCAUUCAGCCAUCAUGAUGUGGCCUUUACCUCCACUCCUGUCUUGUUCUACCCAGAUUCAGCACAGCCCUUUAUAGUGAAGUCAGAGUCCUCAAGCCAAAUAGCUAAAGCUGUUUUAUCACAACAAAGGCCUAGUUUGUUCCAUGAGUGUGCAUUUCAUUUCUUCAGUUAAAGCCUUCAGAGACACACAAUAAAUUUGGACCAGGGGAUUUUUUAGUUAUUAAUGCUCUCUGAAGAAAGGCAACAUCUUUUUGAGAGCAGCAUUGGACCACACCCCACAAUCUCAAAUGAUUGAAAUUCAUGAACAUCUAGGAUCCCGUGAAGGUCACUGGACCCU
rnacentral:antisense_RNA from 1 species